CGCGUAACACGUAGGCAACCUGCCCGAAAGACCGGGAUAACGGCUCGAAAGGGUCGCUAAUACCGGAUGUGGCCGGCGGAAGACAUCUUCUGCCGAUUAAAUCACUUGUGGCUUUCGGAGGGGCCUGCGGCCUAUCAGCUAGAUGGCGAGGUAACGGCUCACCAUGGCGACGACGGGUAGCUGGUCUGAGAGGAUGGUCAGCCGGACUGGGACUGAGAUACGGCCCAG
rnacentral:rRNA from 1 species